UACGUAGGGGGCAAGCGUUGUCCGGAAUUAUUGGGCGUAAAGCGCGCGCAGGCGGUCAUUUAAGUCUGGUGUUUAAUCCCGGGGCUCAACCCCGGUUCGCAUUGGAAACUGGAUGACUUGAGUGUAAGAGAGGAAAGUGGAAUUCCACGUGUAGCGGUGAAAUGCGUAGAGAUGUGGAGGAACACCAGUGGCGAAGGCGGCUUUCUGGUCUGAUACUGACGCUGAGACGCGAAAGCGUGGGGAGCGAUCCGG
rnacentral:rRNA from 1 species